rnacentral:rRNA from 1 species
CGUGUAGGCGGGUCUGUAAGUCAGAUGUGAAAUGCCGCAGCUUAACUGCGGAGCUGCAUUUGAAACUGCGGAUCUUGAGUGAUGGAGAGGUAAACGGAAUUCCCGGUGUAGCGGUGAAAUGCGUAGAGAUCGGGAGGAACACCAGUGGCGAAGGCGGUUUACUGGACAUUAACUGACGCUGAGGCGCGAAAGCGUGGGGAGCAAACAGGAUUAGAUACCCUGGUAGUCCACGCUGUAAACGAUGGAUACUAGGUGUGGGGGGACUGACCCCUUCCGUGCCGGAGUUAACACAAUAAGUAUCCCACCGUGGGGAGUACGGUCGCAAGAUUAAA